UACUGCGCAACAACGCGGCCGGUGCGACGCGCGGGGACUCUCGAGAAGCUUCCUCGGCGGCUGCGGCGUCGCGCGCGCGCGGCUAUAUAAGGCGGCCGGCCGGCCAGCCUCGGCGCAUUCGUAAACAAACCCUGGUUCAGUUCGGACGCAGCGAACACCCGAAGACCCCCUUCACCCCCACCAUCAGUGUUGACACACUUCGACUUCUUGUUUCGUCGAGACCGCCGGCACGGGAAAAUGUAGGCGAGCGGGCACUAGGUGCGGAGCGCGACAGUUUACCUGCACCCUGCGGGGUCGGUGCUUGAACAAUCCGUACGCGACGACAACAGGCGUAAUUAGAAUUUGAAAUUCCGUCACACUUUGAACUGAUAUGAGAAGAGAACCUCAA